rnacentral:rRNA from 1 species
AGAGUUUGAUCUUGGCUCAGGACGAACGCUGGCGGCGUGCUUAAUACAUGCAAGUCGAGCGAGCUUGCCUAGAUGAUUUUAGUGCUUGCACUAAAUGAAACUAGAUACAAGCGAGCGGCGGACGGGUGAGUAACACGUGGGUAACCUGCCCAAGAGACUGGGAUAACACCUGGAAACAGAUGCUAAUACCGGAUAACAACACUAGACGCAUGUCUAGAGUUUGAAAGAUGGUUCUGCUAUCACUCUUGGAUGGACCUGCGGUGCAUUAGCUAGUUGGUAAGGUAACGGCUUACCAAGGCAAUGAUGCAUAGCCGAGUUGAGAGACUGAUCGGCCACAUUGGGACUGAGACGCGGCCCAAACUCCUACGGGAGGCAGCAGUAGGGAAUCUUCCACAAUGGACGAAAGUUUGAUGGAGCAACGCCGCGUGAGUGAAGAAGGGUUUCGGCUCGUAAAGCUCUGUUGGUAGUGAAGAAAGAUAGAGGUAGUAACUGGCCUUUAUUUGACGGUAAUUACUUAGAAAGUCACGGCUAACUACGUGCCAGCAGCCGCGGUAAUACGUAGGUGGCAAGCGUUGUCCGGAUUUAUUGGGCAUAAAGCGAGUGCAGGCGGUUCAAUAAGUCUGAUGUGAAAGCCUUCGGCUCAACCGGAGAAUUGCAUCAGAAACUGUUGAACUUGAGUGCAGAAGAGGAGAGUGGAACUCCAUGUGUAGCGGUGGAAUGCGUAGAUAUAUGGAAGAACACCAGUGGCGAAGGCGGCUCUCUGGUCUGCAACUGACGCCGAGGCUCGAAAGCAUGGGUAGCGAACAGGAUUAGAUACCCUGGUAGUCCAUGCCGUAAACGAUGAGUGCUAAGUGUUGGGAGGUUUCCGCCUCUCAGUGCUGCAGCU